rnacentral:rRNA from 1 species
GACGAACGCUGGCGGCGUGCCUAAUACAUGCAAGUUGAGCGCUGAAGGUUGGUACUUGUACCAACUGGAUGAGCAGCGAACGGGUGAGUAACGCGUGGGGAAUCUGCCUUUGAGCGGGGGACAACAUUUGGAAACGAAUGCUAAUACCGCAUAAAAACUUUAAACACAAGUUUUAAGUUUGAAAGAUGCAAUUGCAUCACUCAAAGAUGAUCCCGCGUUGUAUUAGCUAGUUGGUGAGGUAAAGGCUCACCAAGGCGAUGAUACAUAGCCGACCUGAGAGGGUGAUCGGCCACAUUGGGACUGAGACACGGCCCAAACUCCUACGGGAGGCAGCAGUAGGGAAUCUUCGGCAAUGGACGAAAGUCUGACCGAGCAACGCCGCGUGAGUGAAGAAGGUUGUUGGAUCGUAAAACUCUGUUGGUAGAGAAGAACGUUGGUGAGAGUGGAAAGCUCAUCAAGUGACGGUAACUACCCAGAAAGGGACGGCUAACUACGUG